UACGUAGGUGACCAGCGUUGUCCGGAUUUACUGGGCGUAAAGAGCGCGCAGGCGGUCGUUCAAGUCGAGUGUGAAAGCCCCCGGCUCAACUGGGGAGGGUCAUUCGAUACUGAUCGACUCGAAGGCAGGAGAGGGUAGUGGAAUUCCCGGUGUAGCGGUGGAAUGCGUAGAGAUCGGGAAGAACAUCAGUGGCGAAGGCGGCCUGCUGGGCUGUUGCUGACGCUGAGGCGCGACAGCGUGGGGAGCAAACAGG
rnacentral:rRNA from 1 species